rnacentral:rRNA from 1 species
GAUGAACGCUGGCGGCGUGCCUAAUACAUGCAAGUCGAGCGAACGGACGAGAAGCUUGCUUUUCUGAUGUUAGCGGCGGACGGGUGAGUAACACGUGGAUAACCUACCUAUAAGACUGGGAUAACUUCGGGAAACCGGAGCUAAUACCGGAUAAUAUUUUGAACCGCAUGGUUCAAAAGUGAAAGACGGUCUUGCUGUCACUUAUAGCUGGAUCCGCGCUGCAUUAGCUAGUUGGUAAGGUAACGGCUUACCAAGGCAACGAUGCAUAGCCGACCUGAGAGAGUGAUCGGCCACACUAGAGGUGGGACACGGUCCAGACUCCUACGGGAGGCAGCAGUAGGGAAUCUUCCGCAAUGGGCGAAAGCCUGACGGAGCAACGCCGCGUGAGUGAUGAAGGUCUUCGGAUCGUAAAACUCUGUUAUUAGGGAAGAACAUAUGUGUAAGUAACUGUGCACAUCUUGACGGUACCUAAUCAGAAAGCCACGGCUAACUACGUG